UACGUAGGGGGGCAAGCGUUGUCCGGAAUCAUUGGGCGUAAAGCGCGUGUAGGCGGCUCGGUAAGUCCGCUCUGAAAGCCCGGGGCUCAACCCCGGGAGGCGGGUGGAUACUGUCUAGCUCGAGUCCGGAAGAGGAGUGUGGAAUUCCUGGUGUAGCGGUGAAAUGCGCAGAUAUCAGGAGGAACACCAAUGGCGAAGGCAGCACUCUGGGACGUGACUGACGCUGAGACGCGAAAGCGUGGGGAGCAAACAGG
rnacentral:rRNA from 1 species